GACGAACGCUGGCGGCGUGCUUAACACAUGCAAGUCGAACGGAAAGGCCCUGCUUUUGUGGGGUGCUCGAGUGGCGAACGGGUGAGUAACACGUGAGUAACCUGCCCUUGACUUUGGGAUAACUUCAGGAAACUGGGGCUAAUACCGGAUAGGAGCUCCUGCUGCAUGGUGGGGGUUGGAAAGUUUCGGCGGUUGGGGAUGGACUCGCGGCUUAUCAGCUUGUUGGUGGGGUAGUGGCUUACCAAGGCUUUGACGGGUAGCCGGCCUGAGAGGGUGACCGGCCACAUUGGGACUGAGGGACGGCCCAGACGCCAACGGGAGGCAGCGGUGGAGAGUAUUGCGCAAUGGGCGGGAGCCUGAUACAGCAACGCCGCGUGCGGGAAGACGGCUUUCGGGUUGUAAACCGCUUUCGCCUGUGACGAAGCGGGAGUGACGGUAAUGGAUAAGGAAGCACCGGCUAACUACGUG
rnacentral:rRNA from 1 species